UACGAAGGGGGGCUAGCGUUGCUCGGAAUCACUGGGCGUAAAGGGUGCGUAGGCGGGUCUUUUAAGUCAGGGGUGAAAUCCUGGAGCUCAACUCCAGAACUGCCUUUGAUACUGAGGAUCUUGAGUUCGGGAGAGGUGAGUGGAACUGCGAGUGUAGAGGUGAAAUUCGUAGAUAUUCGCAAGAACACCAGUGGCGAAGGCGGCUCACUGGCCCGAUACUGACGCUGAGGCACGAAAGCGUGGGGGAGCAAACAGG
rnacentral:rRNA from 1 species